AAUGUUCCAGGUAUCCAGUCUAUCAGACAGUAUUAUAUUAUAAUGUUCCAGGUAUCCAGUCUAUCAGACAGUAUUAUAAUGUUCCAGGUAUCCAGUCUAUCAGUCAGUAUUAUAUUAUAAUGUUCCAGGUAUCCAGUCUAUCAGGCAGUAUUAUAUUAUAAUGUUCCAGGUAUCCAGUCUAUCAGACAGUAUUAUAAUGUUCCAGGUAUCCAGUCUAUCAGACAGUAUUAUGAUGUUCCAGGUAUCCAGUCUAUCAGACAGUAUAAUAUUAUCAUGUUCCAGGUAUCCAGUCUAUCAGACAGUAUUAUAAUGUUCCAGGUAUCCAGUCUAUCAGACAGUAUUAUGAUGUUCCAGGUAUCCAGUCUAUCAGUCAGUAUUAUUGUAUAAUGUUCCAGGUAUCCAGUCUAUCAGGCAGUAUUAUAUUAUAAUGUUCCAGGUAUCCAGUCUAUCAGACAGUAUUAUAAUGUUCCAGGUAUCCAGUCUAUCAGACAGUAUUAUGAUGUUCCAGGUAUCCAGUCUAUCAGGCAGUAUUAUAUUAUAAUGUUCCAGGUAUCCAGUCUAUCAGACAGUAUUAUAAUGUUCCAGGUAUCCAGUCUAUCAGACAGUAUUAUGAUGUUCCAGGUAUCCAGUCUAUCAGGCAGUAUUAUAUUAUAAUGUUCCAGGUAUCCAGUCUAUCAGACAGUAUUAUAAUGUUCCAGGUAUCCAGUCUAUCAGACAGUAUUAUGAUGUUCCAGGUAUCCAGUCUAUCAGACAGUAUUAUAUUAUAAUGUUCCAGGUAUCCAGUCUAUCAGACAGUAUUAUGAUGUUCCAGGUAUCCAGUCUAUCAGGAAGUAUUAUAUUAUCAUGUUCCAGGUAUCCAGUCUAUCAGACAGUAUAGUAUUGGGGACUCCAGUUCGUGGUAACAGACUCCACCUGUCCUCUCUGCUGGUCAACCUCACUCCUGAGACUUACACCUGGAGUCGCCUCAAAGCUGCCCUCUCCCUACACAGGAAGA